AGGCUGCAGCAAUCUAUCGAGAAAUCACUGCUCCAACUUCAGAAGCUCUUUUGAAGGACUUUCAGAUCUGAUCCAGAUCUGAUUUUUAGAGAAAAGAUUCAUGAGGAGAAGAUAAUUCAGAUCCUACUUGAGUGGAUACUGAUAGAGGCCAAGCAACUGUAUGGCUAUAUUAGAACCUCAGGUAUUGCUGCUAUCAUCUACAGGGUAAUCAAGUUACCCUAGAGGUAUUUCUG
rnacentral:lncRNA from 1 species